AGAACGAACGCUGGCGGCAGGCUUAACACAUGCAAGUCGAACGCUCGUAGCAAUACGGGAGUGGCGGACGGGUGAGUAACGCGUGGGAACGUGCCCUGAGGUUGGGAAUAACUGCGGGAAACUGCAGCUAAUACCUGAUGAGCCCCGUGAGGGGGAAAGAUUUAUCGCCUUAGGAGCGGCCCGCGUCGGAUUAGCUAGUUGGUGGGGUAACGGCCUACCAAGGCUUCGAUCCGUAGCUGGUCUGAGAGGACGAUCAGCCACACUGGGACUGAGACACGGCCCAGACUCCUACGGGAGGCAGCAGUGGGGAAUCUUGCGCAAUGGGGGCAACCCUGACGCAGCCAUGCCGCGUGAAUGAUGAAGGCCUUAGGGUUGUAAAGUUCUUCUGCCCGUGACGAUGAUGACGGUAACGGGAGAAUAAGCUCCGGCUAACUUCGUGCCAGCAGCCGC
rnacentral:rRNA from 1 species